rnacentral:rRNA from 1 species
GUGCCAGCAGCCGCGGUAAUACAGAGGUCCCGAGCGUUGUUCGGAUUCACUGGGCGUAAAGGGUGCGUAGGCGGUUCUGAAAGUCUGAUGUGAAAUCUCCAGGCCCAACCUGGAAACGGCAUUAGAAACUACAGGGCUAGAGGCUUGGAGGGGGAACUGGAAUGCUCGGUGUAGCAGUGAAAUGCGUAGAGAUCGAGCGGAACACCAGUGGCGAAGGCGAGUUCCUGGACAAGUCCUGACGCUGAGGCACGAAAGCCAGGGGAGCAAACAGGAUUAGAUACCCGGGUAGUCC